AGUAGAUUAAAGGUAUGAUUUUAGUUUAACUGUGCCUAGUGCGCACAAACUAAAUUAAAGAGUUCAACUCUCUUAUCUACUU
rnacentral:tRNA from 1 species